rnacentral:rRNA from 1 species
AACACGUGGGUAACCUGCCUGUAAGACUGGGAUAACUCCGGGAAACCGGAGCUAAUACCGGAUAGUUCCUUGAACCGCAUGGUUCAAGGAUGAAAGACGGUUUCGGCUGUCACUUACAGAUGGACCCGCGGCGCAUUAGCUAGUUGGUGAGGUAACGGCUCACCAAGGCGACGAUGCGUAGCCGACCUGAGAGGGUGAUCGGCCACACUGGGACUGAGACACGGCCCAGACUCCUACGGGAGGCAGCAGUAGGGAAUCUUCCGCAAUGGACGAAAGUCUGACGGAGCAACGCCGCGUGAGUGAUGAAGGUUUUCGGAUCGUAAAGCUCUGUUGUUAGGGAAGAACAAGUGCAAGAGUAACUGCUUGCACCUUGACGGUACC